rnacentral:rRNA from 1 species
UACGGGGGGGGCAAGCGUUGUUCGGAAUUACUGGGCGUAAAGGGCUCGUAGGCGGCCUUCUAAGUCGAACGUGAAAUCCCCGGGCUCAACCCGGGAACUGCGUCCGAUACUGGAAGGCUGAAUCCGGGAGAGGGAUGCGGAAUUCCAGGUGUAGCGGUGAAAUGCGUAGAUAUCUGGAGGAACACCGGUGGCGAAGGCGGCAUCCUGGACCGGUAUUGACGCUGAGGCGCGAAAGCCAGGGGAGCAAACGGG